rnacentral:lncRNA from 10 species
AGAUCUGAACUCAGAAGUCACCUUCCCGGCCUUCUCUGAGAAUCUGAUUUGAUAUGUGGUCCUUCCCUUCUGCUCCAAGCAACAGUCUGUACAUCACUGCAUUCAUUUUCUUAAAGGCACUUAUCAGAAAUAUUUUCUUCAUUUAUUUAUCUGAACUACCAUCUUAGAAUUCAAAUUCCAUGGGAGUAAGCGUCCUGUCUGUCUCAUUCACUGCCACAUUUCCAGCUCCUGGGAAACUGCCUGACAAGAAGCAAGAGGGGAGCUAGAAUGAUCAAAUGGGUUCCACAUAAAUCGUAAUGUUGUCAAGGCCUUCCGGAAAAACCCUUAGAGUUAGCAUUUGAGAAUCUUUGCAGAGUGAAUAAUCCACUUUGUUUUUCCCUUUUCCCAAAUACCACCACAAAAUUCCACUCAAGGCAUUUUCCCUUUCAUCUCUCUUUCAGUGUUUUAAGUUGGGUAUCUAUCUCUUAUUUCAUAAAUUUGCAGAUUAUGUGAAGAUGAAUUAUAUAGAUAUUUUAUUCAGAUGAUGGACUCAAGAUCUUAUCCAGAAAAACCUACAUCUCACAAUAGGCAGUAGACCAUUUAUAACACAAUUGAAUUAAGUCACUUUAAUAUCAUAGGUGAUAUUCAUCAAAGGAUGCUACAAUAAACACAAUCCAAUGCAUUCUUAUCCAUAUUUUAUAAUAUAUUUAAAUAAUUAAGUGGAUAUUUAAUAAUUGGGAAUGGGCUCAUGUUAUAAAAAACAAUUCUUAAAAGUCAGGAUUAAAUUUAAGAAAAUUCAAAGAUACAUUUCCUCUAUAAGGAGACUGAGAUAAAAAUCACUAUUACUGGGAACUAGAAGUUUAAUUUUUCACAGACAUUACUUGGUUGUGCUGAGAUUUGUGGGUUGUCAAAACAAAGAUGCUGCCUGCAGACACCUGA